rnacentral:tRNA from 1 species
GCGGUUGUGGUGAAAUUGGUAGACACGCUAUCUUCAGAGGGUAGUACUUCAAUGUGUGUGGGUUCGAGUCCCAUCAACCGCACCA